rnacentral:rRNA from 1 species
AGGAUUCCCCCAGUAAUGGCGAAUGAACAGGGAAGAGCUCAGCAUGGAAAUCGGGGCCUCCCGGCCUUGAAUUGUAGUCUUGAGAUGUACUGCCAACGGAGGCGCAGAUGUAAGCCUCUUGGAAAAGAGCAUCAACGAGGGUGAGAGUCCCGUUUGUCAUCUGCAGUCCCCCGUGUACGGUGUACAUUCUAAGAGUCACGUUCCUCGGGAUUGGAGCGCAAAGUGGGUGGUAAAUUUCAUCUAAAGCUAAAUAUUGGUUCGAGACCGAUAGCAAACAAGUACCAUGAGGGAAAGGUGAAAAGGACUUUGAAAAGAGAGUUAAAAGUGCCUGAAAUUGCUGAAAGGGAAGCGAAUGGAACCAGUGUUCUUGAUGAGAUUGUCGUGUACUCUGGUGAUUGCUGGGUGCUCCACCGCAAGGGGGGCAUUUGGUUUUGAGCUAGAUGUGCGUGGUGUUUCUUGUCUUGUGUGUCACCGUCGGUGCAUGAGCGAGUAAACCUCCAGGGAGAUGGUAUCUCGACCGCGGUUGAGUGAAUGUCUCUGGCAGUACUCAUUUAUGUAUCGAUCCCUGCGUGUCUGGUUGCAGUGUUUGAGUCGUCUGGAAGCUCCUGAAAGGCUUGCCCUCGAAGGACUUUCUGGGCACCUCGAGCAUCUCCCUGACACAAAGACGAUGACUAAAUGGUUCUAUUCGACCCG